rnacentral:pre_miRNA from 1 species
GGGACAAGUCCCAAUUGAACUUCUUUCACGGUAUUUACAAAGCAGAAUACUUGUAAUGCCCUGGUUGAGGUUCAAUUGGUAUGACGUCUA